UCGAUGGGAAACAGGUUAAUAUUCCUGUACUUGGUGUUACUGCGAAGGGGGGACGGAGAAGGCUAUGUUGGCCGGGCGACGGUUGUCCCGGUUUAAGCGUGUAGGCUGGUUUUCCAGGCAAAUCCGGAAAAUCAAGGCUGAGGCGUGAUGACGAGGCACUACGGUGCUGAAGCAACAAAUGCCCUGCUUCCAGGAAAAGCCUCUAAGCAUCAGGUAACAUCAAAUCGUACCCCAAACCGACACAGGUGGUCAGGUAGAGAAUACCAAGGCGCUUGAGAGAACUCGGGUGAAGGAACUAGGCAAAAUGGUGCCGUAACUUCGGGAGAAGGCACGCUGAUAUGUAGGUGAAGUCCCUUGCGGAUGGAGCUGAAAUCAGUCGAAGAUACCAGCUGGCUGCAACUGUUUAUUAAAAACACAGCACUGUGCAAACACGAAAGUGGACGUAUACGGUGUGACGCCUGCCCGGUGCCGGAAGGUUAAUUGAUGGGGUCAGCGCAAGCGAAGCUCUUGAUCGAAGCCCCGGUAAACGGCGGCCGUAACUAUAACGGUCCUAAGGUAGCGAAAUUCCUUGUCGGGUAAGUUCCGACCUGCACGAAUGGCGUAAUGAUGGCCAGGCUGUCUCCACCCGAGACUCAGUGAAAUUGAACUCGCUGUGAAGAUGCAGUGUACCCGCGGCAAGACGGAAAGACCCCGUGAACCUUUACUAUAGCUUGACACUGAACAUUGAGCCUUGAUGUGUAGGAUAGGUGGGAGGCUUUGAAGUGUGGACGCCAGUCUGCAUGGAGCCGGCCUUGAAAUACCACCCUUUAAUGUUUGAUGUUCUAACGUGGACCCGUGAUCCGGGUUGCGGACAGUGUCUGGUGGGUAGUUUGACUGGGGCGGUCUCCUCCUAAAGAGUAACGGAGGAGCACGAAGGUUGGCUAAUCCUGGUCGGACAUCAGGAGGUUAGUGCAAUGGCAUAAGCCAGCUUGACUGCGAGCGUGACGGCGCGAGCAGGUGCGAAAGCAGGUCAUAGUGAUCCGGUGGUUCUGAAUGGAAGGGCCAUCGCUCAACGGAUAAAAGGUACUCCGGGGAUAACAGGCUGAUACCGCCCAAGAGUUCAUAUCGACGGCGGUGUUUGGCACCUCGAUGUCGGCUCAUCACAUCCUGGGGCUGAAGUAGGUCCCAAGGGUAUGGCUGUUCGCCAUUUAAAGUGGUACGCGAGCUGGGUUUAGAACGUCGUGAGACAGUUCGGUCCCUAUCUGCCGUGGGCGCUGGAGAACUGAGGGGGGCUGCUCCUAGUACGAGAGGACCGGAGUGGACGCAUCACUGGUGUUCGGGUUGUCAUGCCAAUGGCACUGCCCGGUAGCUAAAUGCGGAAGAGAUAAGUGCUGAAAGCAUCUAAGCACGAAACUUGCCCCGAGAUGAGUUCUCCCUGACCCUUUAAGGGUCCUGAAGGAACGUUGAAGACGACGACGUUGAUAGGCCGGGUGUGUAAGCGCAGCGAUGCGUUGAGCUAACCGGUACUAAUGAACCGUGAGGCUUAACCUU
rnacentral:rRNA from 1 species